rnacentral:misc_RNA from 1 species
GGGGGAAAAUGUGGCUUUCAGUACUUGGAGUAUAUGAAUGGGCUGGAAAUAAUCCACUCCCUCCAGAACUAUGGCUCUUGCCUUAUUUUCUACCUUGUCAUCCAGGAAGGAUGUGGUGUCACUGCCGAAUGGUAUACUUGCCUAUGUGUUAUUUGUAUGGCAAGAGAUUUGUUGGUCCUAUAACACCAAUAAUUAGAUCUUUAAGGAAGGAACUUUAUCUUGUCCCUUAUCAUGAAGUUGAUUGGAAUGAGGCUCGCAAUCAGUGUGCAAAGGAAGAUCUGUAUUACCCACAUCCGCUGGUUCAAGAUGUUCUGUGGGCUUCGCUGCACCAUGUCUACGAGCCUCUUUUUAUGCGUUGGCCUGCAAAAAGACUGAGGGAAAAGGCUUUGCGGAGUG